rnacentral:tRNA from 1 species
AAGAAAGAACUAAGGAACUGCUAAUUCCUUAUACCUCAUCU